GACGAACGCUGGCGGCGUGCUUAACACAUGCAAGUCGAACGGAAAGGCCCUGCUUUUGUGGGGUGCUCGAUUGGCGAACGGGUGAUUAACACGUGAGUAACCUGCCCUUGACUUUGUGAUAACUUCAGGAAACUGGGGCUAAUACCGGAUAGGAGCUCCUGCUGCAUGUUGGGGGUUGGAAAGUUUCGGCGGUUGGGGAUGGACUCGCGGCUUAUCAGCUUGCUGGUGGGGUAGUGGCUUACCAAGGCUUUGACGGGUAGCCGGCCUGAGAGGGUGACCGGCAACAGGGGGACUGAGAUACGGCCCAGACUCCUACGGGAGGCAGAAGGGGGGAAUAUGGCACAAUGGGAGGAAGCCUGAUGCAGAAACGCCGAGUGCGGGAUGACGGCCUUCGGGUUGGAAACCGAUUUCGCCUGUGACGAAGAGUGAGUGACGGUAAUGGGUAAAGAAGCACCGGCUAAAUACGUG
rnacentral:rRNA from 1 species